GUCUACAGCCAUACCACCCUUAAUAUGCCCGAUCUCGUCUGAUCUCGGAAGCUAAGCAGGGUUGGGCCUGGUUAGUACUUGGAUGGGAGACUGCCAGGGAAUACUGGCUGCUAUAUGUU
ensembl:rRNA 5S_rRNA 5S ribosomal RNA